UCAGUACCUGAACAUCACGAGGUACUCCAUGCCAGAGAGGAUGCUGAGCUUUUUACAUGCCGUGAAUCUUCAAAAACAGCAUCUUUCUCAGCUACUUCCUGUUCUGCACUAAGUCUCCGUAUGGCCCUAAGAUGCUGGAAAUUAUUUUUGAAGGGUCAUAAAGGCCCCAAAAAAGCAGCAAGAGGGUAAAUUGACAAUAUUACAGGAAAAUGGACACCGGCUACAGUACCCAAAUACCCAAGGUCAGAUUCACAGCAUCCUGGGAGAUAAGCAGGAGGGUACAAGCACUCCCAUCAUACAGAGAAAGAAGCUGAGACUCGGAGAAGCCAUCAGACUUCUUCAGGGUCACAGAGCUGGAUGCAGAAAUCUCCGCAAGGAAAGAACCCACACUUUUCUGUCUUCUAAAAUAAAUAUU